rnacentral:rRNA from 1 species
GACGAACGCUGGCGGCGUGCUUAACACAUGCAAGUCGAACGGAGAGGCCCUGCUGUUGUGGUGUGCUCGAGUGGCGAACGGGUGAGUAACACGUGAGUAACCUGCCCUUGACUUUGGGAUAACUUCAGGAAACUGGGGCUAAUACCUGAUAGGAGCGCCUGCUGCAUGGUGGGGGUGGGAAAGUUUCGGCGGUUGGGGAUGGACUCGCGGCUUAUCAGCUUGUUGGUGGGGUAGUGGCGUACCAAGGCUUUGACGGGUAGCCGGCCUGAGAGGGUGAACGGCGACAUUGGGACUGCGAUACGGACCAGACGCGUACGGGAGGCAGCAGUGGGGAAUAUUGCACAAUGGGCCGAAGCCUGAUGCAGCAACGCCGCGUGCGGGAUGAUGGCCUUCGGGUUGUAAACCGCUUUCGCCUGUGACGAAGCGUGAGUGACGGUAAUCGGUAAAGAAGCCCCGGCUAACCACGUG